GGAACUGUGGGUUAGCUGGUGAAAGCACAUGUCUCGUAAACAGGAGACCCUGGGUAUGAAUCCCAGCAGUACCU
rnacentral:tRNA from 1 species